rnacentral:rRNA from 1 species
AACGAACGCUUUCUUCCUGCCUAACACAUGCAAGUCGAACGAGACCUUCGGGUCUAGUGGCGCACGGGUGCGUAACGCGUGGGAACCUGCCCUUAGGUUCGGAAUAACUCCCCGAAAGGGGUGCUAAUACCGGAUAAUGUCUUCGGACCAAAGAUUUAUCGCCUUUGGAUGGGCCCGCGUUGGAUUAGCUAGUUGGUAGGGUAAAAGCCUACCAAGGCGACGAUCCAUAGCUGGUCUGAGAGGAUGAUCAGCCACACUGGGACUGAGACACGGCCCAGACUCCUACGGGAGGCAGCAGUGGGGAAUAUUGGACAAUGGGCGAAAGCCUGAUCCAGCAAUGCCGCGUGAGUGAUGAAGGCCUUAGGGUUGUAAAGCUCUUUUACCCGGGAUGAUAAUGACAGUACCGGGAGAAUAAGCUCCGGCUAACUCCGUG